rnacentral:rRNA from 1 species
GUAACGACUCUCGGCAACGGAUAUCUCGGCUCUCGCAUCGAUGAAGAACGUAGCGAAAUGCGAUACUUGGUGUGAAUUGCAGAAUCCCGUGAACCAUCGAGUCUUUGAACGCAAGUUGCGCCCGAAGCCAUCAGGUUGAGGGCACGUCUGCCUGGGCGUCACGC